AUGGGCAGUGGAGAGGAGACUGUUGGAAAAUAUCAGGCACCUUGGCCUAAUGAUAAAUCACUGACAGCUGGGGAGAUUGUCAAGUUUUUUGUCCUUUUACAAAUAGAUGGCUUAAGUGUGGGGCAAACUGACCCUGGUUACAGUCUGACACUGUUGAUGCUGGAGAGAAUGAAAUUUCAUCAGCUUGAAGAUCGCAAUUGGAAAGCAAAGAUGAUAGAAAAGUGAUGUAAUUCAAGUUGCUGGAAGAGAAGAGACUACCCAGUCAGAUUUUGCUCUGUUGUUGGGAGGCUCAGAGGACUGCUUUGUUGCCUGCCUACCAGAAAUUUUUUGGAGAUAAUUGUUUUCUGGUCAGAAGAAAUUUGAUUUUUUUUUUAAUCCCAAAUUUAAAACAACUUUAUUUAAGGUGUUAAAAAUAAAAUAACCAACUCAAACAAAACCAACAUUUUCUACACUUUUAUGGGAAGAACAAAUAGAAUGACAUCAUCUAUUGAAAUCAGUUAACAAACAAAAGGUCAAAACUGCUACAAUCCUAAACUAGUUCAACAGACUUGCAGCCUCCACUGAUGAGGGAAGAACUCGGGACAUGAUCUUGACCAAUUUCAGUUAAAGACGUUAUGCCAUCAUGUCAUCACGAUGUGACGCAGUGCGAUGUGUGGGUGCAGUGGCAAAGCAUCUAACAAGAAAAGAUGGCAGUGCAGAAGGCGGCAGAGGUGCAAGGCCUGGUGCUAGGCAGCGGCUCCAUGGCAGCACCAGGAGACGGAGAAGCACAGUCCUAGGCCACGGUACCAGGAGCAAGAGAGGCCUGUUGAUGAGAAAAUCUACAGGAAGAUCUCAAGCAACAUGAGGAAACAAAGCCAUUAAGGAUUAUCUAAAGACUAGAUCUGCAAGAGAGUAUCUGUAACUACCUAUGGAAGAACCCCUGGACUUGGAGUAGAACUCCCUUCCUCAAGGACAACUAGAAGUGGAAACCACAAGAACUACAUGAGCCCAGAUUAACAUCACUUGCAAAAAUAUUCCAAGCCACUGUCUAAACUUUGCUGAAAAACUCUUUUACCCUUGAUAUGGUCUUCCCAGAAAGGGACUAUAAAAUUUGCAUGGUUUACUCUAACCAUAACCAUUUUGUUCAGUAUUGAAGCUGUAUUUCCCAAGAACAAAUCUUUGUACUGUUUGUUUUCUA